UUUGGCAACUGUGGCACGCGGUGCUGGUUUGUUGAUCAAGACGGUCAAAAACUUCGGCAUCAUGCGUAACAUGCCGUGGAUUUGUGCUUGGUGCCGUUUCCAAUCGAAGAACAAUCACCGUGACCGUCACCAAGGACGAGUGGUGAAUUAUUAUGGCCAACGCAAGGCUGUGUUGCUCAAAAUGGAGACCGACACUCAACGGUUUUCAGUUACGAGCUACCGACGCUGCAAUCAGCGAUUUCAAGGGGCCAACAAAUAAUCAUCGAAGGUGCAUGUGCAAGGACAUUUGAUGAUGGUAACAUUUUCUUUGGUGGGUAUCUUUUAUUAUAUUUUAUGACUAAAUCUAUUGAUUGAAACCUAUUCUAUUUUCCAUAAAUUGACGAAAGAGCUGUAUGCUUCAGAUGUGUGCAUAAGCGGUGGUGAGCGAACACCCAUUCGUUUUAAGACGCUCUCAGAGGCCGGAUACCUUCACUUACCACCAGAUGUCGGUCGGAAAAAUGUAGUUAUUAACCACCUUUAAUCUAAUGGAGAAAGGAGACUAGCUGUUUCUGAGCAACAAUAAGUUCAACAUCGAGCCGAAGAUUCCAUACCUGCCAGAGUAGUGAGAUUGGCAGCAGUACAUCCAAUGAAUUUUCUGGAUAUAUCCCAAGAGUUAAACUACGGAACAGGAUUUAGCAGCCGACUCUAUGCAUAAGCUGCAUAAGCGUUCUAAAUGAUACAUCGCAAGCGCUAAUGAUAAGUGCAGAUAACAAUCGUACGGGUGCUGAAAAUAAGCUAUCCAGAUAUGGAACUACACCGCAACACGGGUGAUAGACUACACCACAUUUGUAUAAAAUCUGAUGAUUGCUCGACGAUUGCUUGAUUCUAUGCUAGCCAACACACGAUACAAAAUAAUUCGCGCGAACACAAACGAUUGCUGACGAAAACAGUACCAGCAACAAAAAAAAAAACACCUCCACCCCGGCUGGAGCUGAGUAAAUCGCCUAAAGUUUGUACAAACAGCACCAUACACCAUGCCAGAAGCGGGCCAUAGACAACAUAAAUGGCGUGUGCAAAUUCGAUGAUUUCAACACGAUGGUUUGAUGUAUGCUCGCCCACACACGAUACAAACGUAUUUCGCGCGGACACAAACGAUGGCUGGCGAUAACAGCAACAGCAUAAGCAACAACAAAAAACCACCUCCACCCCGGCUGGGGCUGAGUAAAUUGCCUGAAUUUUGUACAAACAGCACCAUACACCAUGGCACAGAGGGUGGUUUGUACAAAAUAUUUCGAUCCGGUCCGAUUUUAUUCAAACCGUUUGUGU